rnacentral:lncRNA from 1 species
CCUUGCUUGAUCUCCUCUUCUUCUCUUCUUCUCUUCUUCUUCUCUCAAAACCCUCACUCUCACUCCUUUUAAAAUGGUAAAACUGAUCAAAAUGAUCAGCCUAACACAUUUAUAUAACCAAAAUAAAAGGCUAGGGAAAAGACCAAAAUGCCCUUAAUGAUUCCCGGACGGAUUUUCUUGUCAACUGCCCAACUUUCAAAGGGCCAUAACUCGCUCAUACGAACUCGGAAUUGAGCAAACUCGGCGGCGUUGGAAAGAUCAUUCCACAAGCUUCAAAACCAUAACUGGAAAUACUCCUAACUCGUCCUGAGCUAGGAGUUACGACUGUUCAAAGUUGGCCAAAAUUCACUGAUUUCCAUACUUAGCAAAAUUUCCAAAACUUUAAAAUUCUUUCCAAAAAUGAAAAUUUCCAAUUCUAAG